AGGAUGAACGCUAGCGGCAGGCCUAAUACAUGCAAGUCGGACGGGAUUGGAGAGCUUGCUUUCCAUGAGAGUGGUGCACGGGUGCGUAACACGUAUGUAACCUACCCUUGUCAGGGGGAUAGCCUCUCGAAAGAGAGAUUAAGACCGCAUAACAUUGUAAUGUGCAUCACAAAACAAUCAAAUAUUUAUAGGACAAGGAUGGGCAUGCGGAACAUUAGCUAGUUGGUAAGGUAAAGGCUUACCAAGGCUACGAUGUUUA
rnacentral:rRNA from 1 species